GUGUCAGCCGCCGCGGUAAUACGUAGGGUCCAAGCGUUAAUCGGAAUUACUGGGCGUAAAGCGUGCGUAGGCGGUCUCGCAAGUCCGAUGUGAAAUCCCCGGGCUUAACCUGGGAAUUGCGUUGGAAACUAUGAGACUAGAGUGUGGCAGAGGGGGGUGGAAUUCCAGGUGUAGCAGUGAAAUGCGUAGAUAUCUGCAGGAACACCAGUGGCGAAAGCGGCGCGCUGGACCGCAACUGACGCUGAGAGACGAAAGCUAGGGGAGCAAACAGGAUUAGAUACCCUGGUAGUCCUAGCCCUAAACCAUCAGGACUUGGCGUGGGCCCCGUCCGGGGUCCGUGUCGUAGCCAACGUGAUAAGUCCUGCGCCUGGGGAGUACGGUCGCAAGGCUGAAACUCAAAUGAAUUGACGG
rnacentral:rRNA from 1 species